CCAUGCUAGAUGGGGAGGUAGCGGUGCCCUGUACCUGCAACCCGCUAUAGCAGGAUUGAAUCCCUGUUCGAGGCUUUUUCCCUGUGGGGUCUGCCCUGGGCAAGUGACGAUGAGGUCCGGGUCUUGCGCAACGGGAAGCUGAAAACCCCGUCAGGUUCGGAAGAAAGCAGCGGUAAUCAGUCCCUCCCGUGUGCCGCAAGGGUGCCUGGGUUGAGCCAACUACCUUGGUUACGCUUGGAGGGAUAAGUCGAAAACAGGUGCAUGG
rnacentral:SRP_RNA from 1 species